AUUGAACGCUGGCGGCAGGCCUAACACAUGCAAGUCGGACGGUAGCACAGAGGAGCUUGCUCCUCGGGUGACGAGUGGCGGACGGGUGAGUAAUGUCUGGGGAUCUGCCCGAUAGAGGGGGAUAACCACUGGAAACGGUGGCUAAUACCGCAUAACGUCGCAAGACCAAAGAGGGGGACCUUCGGGCCUCUCACUAUCGGAUGAACCCAGAUGGGAUUAGCUAGUAGGCGGGGUAACGGCCCACCUAGGCGACGAUCCCUAGCUGGUCUGAGAGGAUGACCAGCCACACUGGAACUGAGACACGGUCCAGACUCCUACGGGAGGCAGCAGUGGGGAAUAUUGCACAAUGGGCGCAAGCCUGAUGCAGCCAUGCCGCGUGUAUGAAGAAGGCCUUCGGGUUGUAAAGUACUUUCAGCGGGGAGGAAGGCGAUGUGGUUAAUAACCGCGUCGAUUGACGUUACCCGCAGAAGAAGCACCGGCUAACUCCGUGCCAGCAGCCGCCGUAA
rnacentral:rRNA from 1 species